rnacentral:rRNA from 1 species
GAUGAACGCUAGCGGCAGGCUUAAUACAUGCAAGUCGUGGGGCAGCAUGACUGUAGCAAUACAGUUGAUGGCGACCGGCAAACGGGUGCGGAACACGUACACAACCUUCCUUUAAGUGGGGAAUAGCCCAGGGAAACUUGGAUUAAUACCCCGUAACAUAUAGAAGUGGCAUCACUUUUAUAUUAUAGCUACGGCGCUUAGAGAUUGGUGUGCGGCUGAUUAGGUAGUUGGCGGGGUAACGGCCCACCAAGGCGACGAUCAGUAACUGGUGUGAGAGCACGACCAGUCACACGGGCACUGAGACACGGGCCCGACUCCUACGGGAGGCAGCAGUAAGGAAUAUUGGUCAAUGGACGCAGGUCUGAACCAGCCAUGCCGCGUGGAGGAUGAAGGUCCUCUGGAUUGUAAACUUCUUUUAUCUGGGAAGAAAAAGGACUUUUCUAAGUCAACUGACGGUACCAGAUGAAUAAGCACCGGCUAACUCCGUGCCAGCAGCCGCAGUAACAC